GUGGAACCAGUGGACACCAUGAGGCCAUGUUUUCACAUAACGCAAUGAGGAGCCAGUGAAUGAAGUUGGUUUGUUUUGAAACAUGGUUGUCGUGUGUCACAUACUGUCCUCUCUGAGCCUUAUACCUCUGUUGCAUGUGAGAGUCAGAGCUCACCCUGAACCUUAGGGAACAGGGUCAAACGUCAGACCAAGUCCUGGGAAGGGCAAGGCCAGAGGCAGCAUUCACCACCUGGAUUGUUCCGGGAUCCCAGACAAGCAGAGGACGUGGCUCGCUAUCCCGGCUGCAGACGCACUGGCACUGGUGUCUGUCAGCGGACUCUGGUGCAGAGCUGCCUGCUGGUCCCGAACUCCUGGACUCAAGGAAUCCUAAGGAGGAAGGUUUGAGGCUAUUCUGGAACACAUACCAUCAAUGUCAUAGAUUCAGUUACUUGUCUGGACACUUACGUGUGUUAAAGAGAAAAAGAAGCCAGCUACCUGAUGAAGAGCCUGAUCUAAUAGGAUAAUCAGAUAAAGAAAUCAGAAGCACCAACUUUAUGUCACAAACAUUUGCUCAGGAUGCAGAGGAAGCUCAAAGGAUCCCAGAGGAGUUUUCAGUUACUCCUAAGAAAUCAGAACGCUCUUCCUCCCUAGGAAGAAGAUUAGUCAGUCACCCUAGAAGUUAAACUAAACUUAAGCAGAACUCUAAUUUGCAGUUUCUGACACACUUUCACUUCCCCACCCACCUUCCUUCCCGCUGGUCAGUUUCCUGGGAAACACUGGCAUUUGGAGAACAAAAAUACCAAUAACAUGUUGUUAGAAUG
rnacentral:lncRNA from 13 species